CGUUCGGAACUAAAUGUUCCGAAUGCAGCCAGAACACUGGCCAGUGGAGUACCCUUUUAAUUUCAAGCAUCAUAGCAAAGGGUCUGAAUACUUCUGUCCAUGGGGAAAAAAAAUUUUUUUUAAUAUAUUUGCUACAAUUUUCAAAAUUCUGUCUUCACAUUCUCAUUAUGGGGUAUUGACUGAAGAUUGAUGGUGAAAUCUCUAUCAUUAAUUUUUUUACUUCAGCACAAGGCCUCAGCCAAAUAUGAAAAAAGUGGAAGGGUCUAAAAACUUUUCGAAUGCAUUGUAUUUUCAACCUUUUCAAACUUAUACGGCGAAUACACACCUAUCGCGGCGGUCCCUGCGGCCAUCAACGGCCGGGACCCGCGGUUAAUACAGGACAUCACCGAUCGCGGUGAUGCCCUGUAUUAACCCUUCAGACACGGCGAUCAAAGCUGACCGCCGCGUCUGAAGCGAAAGUGACACUAACCCGGCUGCACCGGGAGGGACCUUACCUGCCUCCUGCAUGGCCGGCGCUCUCCUUUGUCGUCAUCACGUUGUCGCGCACGCUGCCCCGUCAUCCAAUAGGAGCGGCGUGCGGAGCGACGUGAUGGUGGCGACGGAGAGCUAGGAUGCCGGGCAGCAGAGACGUUCCAGAGCGACGGGGACACCCCGGGGACGCAGCGAUAGCGAUGGAGGGCGACAUCCAGGGCAGCGGUGACGGGUCCGGAGCAGCGGGGACACGUGAGUAUUACCUCCUAUACCAGUGGUCCGCUGGUUGAAGAUCACUGUGACCUAUACUUUACAUUGUAUUCUAGAUUUUCCUCAUUUAAAAUUGGGUGUGUCUUAUAUGCCGGAGCGUCCUAUAGGGCGAAAAAUACGGUAAUACACGUACCAUGAGGACCUUCUAUUGUCUUCACCUGCUAUUGUCUUCAAUGCGCUAAAUGGACCUCUAUCUUGUUAAUCCUGUUUUGCAGCUGCUCACUGUUGCAUCUAAACAACAGUAGCUAGAAUACAAAGUUUGGUCACUAUGAAGACAUUUUUUUUAACGUCCUAUAUUUUGUAGGCUACAAAUCCCAAACUGCACUAUAAGAGCCUGUCCUCUGGCACUGCACAGGCUCCAGCAGCAGCUUGUUCACAUGAAUACAACUCUACAGAUUUUUUUUUUCUGCAAUGUUCCCGCGCUGCUUUUCACACACACACAAAAAAAAAAAAAAAAGCGGGACAUUUUUAGGACAUUUUAACGAAAUGCUCGACUAUUUUUGUUUGUUAUGAAACACAAAAGUUAUACAAAAAAAAGCAAAAAGAAAAAACACUGGAACAUAUAACACUGGCUAUUUAUUUUGCAAAAAAAAAACUUUACAAAACAAUGAAAAGAAUCUUUCAGCUCCUGAGUAUUUACACUGAGAAACAAAGACUUUCUGUGGUAAUAUAGACAUUGUGGCGAGGCCUGGCUUUUUUCCCCCUCCCCCCUUAAACUGGAGCGAUGCGUUAUUUAAGAAGCGUCAGUGGAGCAAUAUGAACAAUAACUUCACAUUUUGCUUAUUUCAUGGUUUUGGAGAAAGUGUAACAUGAUGUGACAUUCCAUAAUCCCACCAUAAGGAUACCAAGUUUCUCUAUUUUCUGGCAGAAGGGCUGCUGAUUCUGGAUGUCUGUGUGAAGUCUGUGUGUAAAUAAGUUGAGACCGUGUAAAGCACAUCCAGUUAGUAUGUAAAUUCCUUUCCUUCCAGCUUCAUGUGUAACUGAAGUCACACAGUGUCCUCCUAAAAACACAACACCCCUUCAAACAGUGUAUAACUCCUCUGCCAAGGGCUUAUAUCCUCAGGGGCCAUGAGGCCUGCACCACACUGUAUGUGCCAGUUACCCGGCAUUGCUCAGAGUGGCUUGCAGGCUUCUUUGCCCCUGAAAAUUAAUGACAGAAUGAAAUCUCUACCGACGAAAGGGAAAUAAAGAUUCUGAAUGGUUAAA